GAUAAAACCAAUCUGAUAAAACCAAUUCUUCAGGCAGAAAAUUCCAUAUCCUUAUAGUUCUUACUGUAAAAAAACUUUUCUUUGCCUUAGAUGAAAUCUCUUUUCUUCCAGCCGAAAUGCGUGACCUUGUGUCCUACGUAUAGCCCUGUUUAUGAAUAGGUUUCCAGAUAAUGGUUUGUACUGGCCCCAAGUAUAUUUGUAUAAUGUUAUCAUAUCCCCUCUGAGG